AGUGAACGCUGGCGGUAGGCCUAACACAUGCAAGUCGAACGGCAGCACAGUAAGAGCUUGCUCUUACGGGUGGCGAGUGGCGGACGGGUGAGGAAUACAUCGGAAUCUACUUUUUCGUGGGGGAUAACGUAGGGAAACUUACGCUAAUACCGCAUACGACCUACGGGUGAAAGCAGGGGAUCUUCGGACCUUGCGCGAUUGAAUGAGCCGAUGUCGGAUUAGCUAGUUGGCGGGGUAAAGGCCCACCAAGGCGACGAUCCGUAGCUGGUCUGAGAGGAUGAUCAGCCACACUGGAACUGAGACACGGUCCAGACUCCUACGGGAGGCAGCAGUGGGGAAUAUUGGACAAUGGGCGCAAGCCUGAUCCAGCCAUACCGCGUGGGUGAAGAAGGCCUUCGGGUUGUAAAGCCCUUUUGUUGGGAAAGAAAAGCAGCAGGUUAAUACCACGCUGUUCUGACGGUACCCAAUGAAUAAGCACCGGCUAACUUCGUG
rnacentral:rRNA from 1 species